GUCUGCAAGUCAUUCAAGCAAUUAGGUAAACUUCAGGUUGCUGUCCAUAGAGGACCGGUUGGUUGCUCUGGAGUCGAAAAACUGUGCGGGAGAGACAAACUUUAAGAAGAGAAGACGGCUGCAUAAUCCCAAGCUUGCGGAAGCACGCCGUCUUCACAACUCGGAGACAAAUGCAGGCGCUACCAGAGCAAGGACUAAUCUCGCCUCAUAAUGACCUACAACCCCGAGGAGACAAACGGACAGUUCACGGAGUU